UGGUGCAUAAUAUCCCUUCCCCAGA
rnacentral:piRNA from 1 species